UACGAAGGGGGCUAGCGUUGCUCGGAAUCACUGGGCGUAAAGCGCACGUAGGCGGAUUGCUAAGUCAGGGGGUGAAAUCCUGGAGCUCAACUCCAGAACUGCCUUUGAUACUGGCGAUCUUGAGUCCGGGAGAGGUGAGUGGAACUGCGAGUGUAGAGGUGAAAUUCGUAGAUAUUCGCAAGAACACCGGUGGCGAAGGCGGGUCUCUGGGCCGAUACCGACGCUGAGGAGCGAAAGCAUGGGUAGCGAACAGG
rnacentral:rRNA from 1 species